GACUCGAAAGCCAAGCACUUGGGAUGGAAUAGAGAAAAAGCUCUGGUUUUAGGGACUCCUGUGAGCCCUGCUUACCCAGCACCCCAGAAUACUUCUCUUUUCUUGCCAGGUAUCAAUAACUUGUGUUACUAUUAAGUGUAAUAGAAAUAACAAGAAUAGGAUGGAGUGGGGAGCAUGUCUGAAGUGUUUCAAAACUUUACAAAUUAUUUUUAUGAGUCUCUGCCUUGGGAUCUUUAAGCCACAACUUUCAGGCAUCGUUGGCAAGACUACGAUAAAGUGUGUGUGCUACACCUGGCCUAGGGACUACACAUGUGGUGUGUAUCCUGACAGUGACUAUUAAUACUAAAUUAAAUCAUUAAAUCAAACCAGGGACGCCCAGCAGCCUCCAAUCUUGCCACUUUGUCCUGGUCAACGUGUGGUCCUCCACGGCUCCGGCUGUACUGAUGUGUUUGCUGAUGGCAGGGAUUCCAGGCGUUGGAGUUUGGAUUCCUGCUCUGCUUGCUUGCCCGUGUGACCUUGGCCUCUCUUUCCCUUAUCCCCCUUCAUCCUCAGGUUAGUCACCGUAACAAUGGAUUUGUUUCCAGUUAGAAGUCAUAUAGAUCGGCUCCACGGAGUUGUUGUGACCCAGUAAGCUAAUAUGUGUGGGUUACUCAGAAAAAAAAAAUGCCCAGUGUGUUGACAGUGGGACUUCUUCUGUGGAAAAACCAAAGGACGGGUAGACAGAUGCCGAGGCUCUGCCAGGGAAGGGAAGGGUCAGGCUGCAUAGCAGUGAUGACUGAAAACUGGGUCAGGCUGAAAAAAAGUCAGUCCUGGGAAUUUCCUCCCAGAAGGAAAAAAAAAACGUGUCAGCAGACAAGAACGACUCAGAGAAACCUGAGAUAAUGGCGAGCCCAUUGCACAACUUCCCAUCCCUCUCCCCUCCCCCACCAGGAAACUGUUUGAACUGACACAGGUGCCGUUUAUCUCUGGGUAGUGAAGACAGAAGCCUGUGCAUGUGACAAGCAGAUACGAGCACUAUCUGACCUCCUAAAGGGAGUCUUUAGGCUUUAUUCUUAACAUCUAAAGACUUCUGGGUAUGGGCUAUUUAUUACUUAAGGAAACAAAGUCCAGAGCACGACAACGGUCAGAGCGAAGCCUACUGUCUUUCACGCGAGCUUCCGGAGGGAGGAAAGGUUUAUCCGAGUGACGGCAGGAGGGUGUAAGGUGGAGAGCCACACAGCACCCACGCGCAGACAUCGGAGUUCUGCAUGCAAUCAUAGAGUGAUUUGGUUUCAUCAGCUGAAACCGCAGCAGCAUGCCGGGGAAACAGGAGGCUCUGACGGACUCGUGCACUAGUCAAACUGAAUCUUCUGACAUGGAGCGGAGACACCAGCCACAGCAAGCCAGUUGCCUGGUUCUAUGUGUAAAAUUUGAGUUUUCCUGUUGCAGAGGGACCACGUUUCUUUAAAGUCAGGAUUCAUAUCAAAUGUUUUUUUGAAGUGAGCCAGGUCUCGUUUCCCUGAAAAGAUGGCUGGUGGAAUGAAAACUCUUCAAAUGAAGCGGACGCAUGCACUUCUGUUAGCAUCGGAGCAAGCAAUGGCUUCGUAGAGAGGCGGCAUGAAGCCCCGUAGCCAGGCUCUGAGAGGAAGCAUGGCGGAGGGACACAAUGAGCCCUGAAGACGGGCGACCUGAAAGCGAAGCUGCCAGGACGGUGUUGUGGGGUUUCUCGAUUAUGACAGUACUGUGCCAGCACGGACAUUUGACAGCUCCGAAGACACUUUGGUUGCUACAAUUUGGCGAGGUGGGGGCAGUACUGCUUGGCACCUCAUGGGUAGAGGGCAGUAGCUAAGACAUUCCACAACGAACAAGCCAGCAUUUCAAAUAAGGCGUCAACAAAGUCUUAUUUGUGUGCGUGAUUAUUUUUCAAGUUGUUUAUGAAAAUGUUGCAUCAGCUGAUCUUAUCACCGAGGAAUUUCCCUUAA